GGGGCUGUAGUGUAGCUUGGUAUCACUCAAGGUUCGGGGCCUUGCAACCGGAGUUCGAAUCUCCGCAGCCCCA
rnacentral:tRNA from 1 species